CUAUCAUCUAUCUGUCUAUCUAAUUAUCUAUCAUCUAUCUAUCUGUCUAUCUAAUUAUCUAUCUAUCUAUCUAUCAUCUAUGUUUUCUAUUUAUUUAUCUAUCUAAUUAGCUAUCUAUCAUCUCUCUAUCAUUUUUUAUCUGUCUAUCUAUCUAUCUGUCUAUCUAUCUAUCUAUCUAUCUAGAUAUCUAUACAUCACCUAUCUAGUUUCUAUCUAUCUACACAGAACAGAAAGGUAGCAC